rnacentral:lncRNA from 1 species
CCAAAAAGGAUGUGAUACUCAAGUUAACAAGAUACAGAUUUUACAUAUAUCUAAUGAGUAAUACAUAAAUCCUCCAAAUCGUAGAUAACAGGAGACAGUCAUGAUACCCGUGUAAUUAAUCUUGCUGUUCAACUAACCGAAACCAUGUGGGUGAUGUGUUGACAACUACAUGUAUAAAAGUUCAUACAUCGGGAAAUCAGCAGAGAAGCCCCCUACAACAUGUUGCAGUGAAAAAAAAAAAGUCCACAGAAAAAUUUGGCACUCUUGGCUUACCAUUCCUUGAGAACUUUCAUUCUGUGGUUAAAUUAAUGGGUGCAGCCAUAUGAAUGAGGGCCCAUCGAUUUUAAUAAAGGUUGUCUGGAUGACAGAAAAGUUUGACAAUAUCCAUAAUUACAGCUGUGACGUCCCUUGGAUGUAAGCUCAAUCAGACAUGCCAAUAGGUACC